rnacentral:rRNA from 1 species
AACGAACGCUGGCGGCAUGCCUAACACAUGCAAGUCGAACGAGACCUUCGGGACUAGUGGCGCAUGGGUGCGUCACGCGUGGGAACCUGCCCUUAGGGUUGGAAUAACUCCCCGAAAGGGGUGCUAACACCGGAUCAUAUCUUCUGACCAAAGAUUUUUCGCCUUUGGUUGUGCCCGCGUUGGAUUAGCUAGUUGGUACGGUAAAAGCUUACCAAGGCGACGAUCCAUAGCUGGUUUGAGAGAAUGAUCAGCGACACUGGGACUGAGACACGGCCGAGACUCCUACGGGAGGUAGCAGUGGGGAAUAUUGGACAAUGGGCGAAAGCCUGAUCCAGCAAUGCCGCGUGAGUGAUGAAGGCCUUAGGGUUGUAAAGCUCUUUUACCCGGGAUGAUAAUGACAGUACCGGGAGAAUAAGCUCCGGCUAACUCCGUG